AUCGAAUCACCUCCCUUGAGGUCCCUCCCCCAACAUGUGGGGAUUAUAAUUCAGAUUAAAAUUGAAGAUGAGAUUUUAGGUGGAGCACAGCCAAACCAUAUCAGAGCCAUUCUCUAUCUUUUGCAGAUUGGAAAAAUAAAAAAAUUAGUUUAAACCACAGCAUUUAAAAGAAAUGGUCAUAGAUGAUGUUAACAUCAGAAUGGAGGUUGUGUGGAGUUCCCCUCCUUGGAGGUUCUGAGCUACAGCCUAGCCUGGACUCAGUCCAGUUACAAUCUAACAUGGCUAGGGGGAGGAGGGAGCAUGAUGGGGCAGGGCUUGUGUGGCUGGGACAGCUGGCUAUGGUCGUGGUGCUGGUGACUAAAUGGUACUUGAAAUUUCUUUUAGAUCUAAAAUUCUGUGAUAUGGUUUGGAUCUGAGACCCCACCAAAUUUCGUGUUGAAAUGUAAUCCCCAAUGCUGGUGGGAGGUGAUUGGAUCAUGGGGGUAGAUUUCUCAUGAAUGGUUUAGCACCAUUCUCUUGGUGCUGUUCUCAUGAUAGUGAGUGAGUUCUCAUGAGUUCUGGUUGUUUAAAAGUGUGCAGCAUCUCCCUGACCCCUCUUGCGCCAGCUCCCACCAUGGGAGAUGCCUCGCUCCCCCUUUGCUUUUUGCCAUGAGAGGAAGCUUCCUGAGGGCUCUCCAGAAGCAGAAUCUACUACACUUCUCAUACAGCCUGCAGAACCAUGAGCCAAUUAAACCUCUUUUUAAAAACACUUUUAUUUUAAGUUCAGGGGUACAUGUGCAGGAUGUGCAGGUUCGUUCCAUAGGUAAACAUGCGUCAUGGGGUUUGUUAUGCAGAUUAUUUCAUCACCUAGAUAUUAAGUCUAGUAUCCAUUAGUUAUUUUUCCUGAUCCUCUCCCUCCUCCCACCCUGCACCCUCUGAUAGGCCUCAGUGUGUAUUGUUACCCUCCACAUGUCCAUGUGUUCUCAUGAUUUAGCUCCCACUUAUAAGUGAGAACAUGCAGUUUUUGUAAACCUGUUUUCUUUAGGGAAAGUUUAGAAUUUUCUAGAGACUGGUUGUAUGGUUGUGACCAAAAUGCCAGUAGUGAUAUGGACAGUGAAGGCCAGGCUGAGGAGGUGAUGGAAAUGAGGAACUUACUGGGAACUGGAGCAAAGGUCACUUUUGUUAUGCUUUAGCAAAGAACUUGGCUGCAUUGUGCUCCUGGCCUAGGGACCUGUGGAAGUUUGAACUUGAGAGUGAUGAUUUUAGGGUAUCUGGCAGAAAAAAUUUCUAAGCAGCAAAGCAUUCAAGAUGCGCCCUGGCUGCUUUCAACAACCUAUGCUCAUAUUUGUGAGCAAAGAAAUUAUGUUAAGUUGGAACUUAUAUUUACAGGGGAAGCAGAGCGUAAAAGUUUGGAGAAUUUGCAGCCAGCUAUGUGGUAGAAAAGAAGAGCCCGUUUUCAGGGAAGGAAUUCAAGCAGGCUGCAGAAAUUUGCAUAAGUAAAAAGGAGCCAAGUGCUAAUGGCCAAGAAAAUGGGGAAAAGGCCUUGAAGGCAUUUCAGAGACCUUUGUGGCAGCCCCUCCCAUCACAGACUCAGAGGCCUAGGAGGACAGAAUGACUCUGAGUAUUAAAGUAGAUUUAAUCUAAAUCAUAAAGUACAAGCUAGAGCAAUCCCUCCAGUGCUGCAGAAACUGCCUGCAUGUGGCUCCCACAUUGUUUCUUGGAGCUUUGGUGGUGGUAGGGGUGGCAGGGGCAGGUGUUAUGUUUCUUGGUUUCUCACCUUCAGGUCUCCUUACCCAUGUUUCCUUUGUCAGAGUCAUUGGCCUUGAUGGAGGGGAGACUGGGUUACUCUGAGUUGAGAAGCAAGCUUGACUGCCCUGUGGUUUAUAUCAGCCUAGCUUAGUUUGUUUUCUGAAGUCUUCACAAAUAACCAAAUAUCCAGCCCAGUGCAGUUCUCAAUGAGUAGUCUCCAGUUCCCAUCCCCCACCACACACACACACCAAACACUGUGCCCACCUGGGAGACCCAUUUUCAUUUAUCUUCUUCUUUGAGUGCCUGGAAGGCUGAACAUUUGAUCUUUUCAAACAUUUUUCUCUCAUCUGGCCUGUUAGCGCUCUUGAGCCUUUGAAAAUGCCAUUUCCUCUACAUACUAUUCUUCCUCAGAGCAGCCCUCUGUUUUUUUUUCCAACCAGUCUUUUCUCUUGCAAAGUUCAGAUCAAAAUUCUUCUUUAUGUAAAGAGAAGUGGCGUGCCAUAGGGGUUACAAACAGGGCUUCAAGGUUAGCACUGGGAUCAAAUUCCGACUUUGCAACUUAACUUUCUUGAGUAAGUUGCUACACCUCUAUUAGCCUCAGUUUCUUAUCUGUAAAAUGGGACGGCUAAGUACCUAUUUCAUUGGGCUGUUGAAUAAUGAUGGUCUCAUCUAUGCAAGGGCUUAGUACCAGCUGGGUGAAACUCAGUGAAUGGCAGGCAACCCUAUUAUGACUAGGCUUCUGCCAAUGAUCAGACUUGAACCCUGUGCUCAUCCCCCCAUCACUUUGUGGAACUAGAUGUCCUACGUUGCACAUGGCUUGAUUCAUGGUUUGGAGUUGUUUUCUGGUUGUUUCCUGUGUGCAGGUUUAAUCUCAACCUGUGAUCCCUUGAAAGCUGCAAUUUUAUCCCUCCCCGUCCUCCUCCCUCUCACCCCAAGGCCAAGUUUAAUACUGUGCAUUCUGAAAUCUUGCAAUGUUGAUGAUGUAAAAUAAAUCUUCUCUCCUGUGUUUCUGAAG
rnacentral:lncRNA from 10 species